rnacentral:rRNA from 1 species
AGAGUUUGAUCCUGGCUCAGGAUGAACGCUAGCGGCAGGCUUAACACAUGCAAGUCGAGGGGCAGCGGGGAGGAAGCUUGCUUUCUCCGCCGGCGACCGGCGCACGGGUGAGUAACACGUAUGCAACCUGCCCCUGUCAGGGGGACAACCCGCCGAAAGGCGGGCUAAACCCGCGUACAUGCCACCGGGGCAUCCCGGAGGCAGGAAAGGCUUCGGCCGGACAGGGAUGGGCAUGCGGCGCAUUAGGCAGUAGGCGGGGUAACGGCCCACCUAACCGACGAUGCGUAGGGGUUCUGAGAGGAAGGUCCCCCGCACUGGUACUGAGACACGGACCAGACUCCUACGGGAGGCAGCAGUGAGGAAUAUUGGUCAAUGGUCGGGAGACUGAACCAGCCAAGCCGCGUGAGGGAGGAAGGUACAGAGUAUCGUAAACCUCUUUUGUCAGGGAACAAAGGCGGGGACGUGUCCCCGGAUGAGUGUACCUGAAGAAAAAGCAUCGGCUAACUCCGUGCCAGCAGCCGCGGUAAUACGGAGGAUGCGAGCGUUAUCCGGAUUUAUUGGGUUUAAAGGGUGCGCAGGCGGUCUGUUAAGUCAGCGGUCAAAGCCCGGGGCUCAACCCCGGCCCGCCGUUGAAACUGGCAGUCUCGAGUUGGAGAGAAGUAUGCGGAAUGCGCGGUGUAGCGGUGAAAUGCAUAGAUAUCGCGCAGAACUCCGAUUGCGAAGGCAGCAUGCCGGCUCCACACUGACGCUGAGGCACGAAAGCGUGGGUAUCGAACAGGAUUAGAUACCCUGGUAGUCCACGCAGUAAACGAUGAAUGCUGGCUGUCCGGGGGGAUUGACCCCUGGGUGGCGAAGCGAAAGCGAUAAGCAUUCCACCUGGGGAGUACGCCGGCAACGGUGAAACUCAAAGGAAUUGACGGGGGCCCGCACAAGCGGAGGAACAUGUGGUUUAAUUCGAUGAUACGCGAGGAACCUUACCCGGGCUCAAACGGGGAGUGACUCAGGCAGAGACGCCUGUUUCCCACGGGACACUCCCCGAGGUGCUGCAUGGUUGUCGUCAGCUCGUGCCGUGAGGUGUCGGCUUAAGUGCCAUAACGAGCGCAACCCCCGCGUGCAGUUGCUAACAGAUAACGCUGAGGACUCUGCACGGACUGCCGGCGCAAGCCGCGAGGAAGGCGGGGAUGACGUCAAAUCAGCACGGCCCUUACGUCCGGGGCGACACACGUGUUACAAUGGGUGGUACAGCGGGAAGCCAGGCGGCGACGCCGAGCGGAACCCGAAAUCCACUCUCAGUUCGGAUCGGAGUCUGCAACCCGACUCCGUGAAGCUGGAUUCGCUAGUAAUCGCGCAUCAGCCAUGGCGCGGUGAAUACGUUCCCGGGCCUUGCACACACCGCCCGUCAAG